GGAGCUAUAGCUCAGCGGUAGAGCAAUGGAUUGCAGUUCCAUAGGUCUCUGGUUCGAAUCCGGAUGGCUCCU